UCGGGGCAGGGUGAGUCGACCCCUAAGGCGAGGCCGAAAGGCGUAGUCGAUGGGAAACAGGUUAAUAUUCCUGUACUUGGUGUUACUGCGAAGGGGGGACGGAGAAGGCUAUGUUAGCCGGGCGACGGUUGUCCCGGUUUAAGCAUGUAGGCUGAUUAUCCAGGCAAAUCCGGAUAAUCAAGGCUGAGGUGUGAUGACGAGGCACUACGGUGCUGAAGUAACAAAUGCCCUGCUUCCAGGAAAAGCCUCUAAGCAUCAGGUAACAUCAAAUCGUACCCCAAACCGACACAGGUGGUCAGGUAGAGAAUACCA
rnacentral:rRNA from 1 species